rnacentral:rRNA from 1 species
UACGUAGGGUGCAAGCGUUUAAUCGGAAUUACUGGGCGUAAAGCGUGCGCAGGCGGUUGUGCAAGACAGAUGUGAAAUCCCCGGGCUCAACCUGGGAAUUGCAUUUGUGACUGCACGGCUAGAGUGUGUCAGAGGGGGGUAGAAUUCCACGUGUAGCAGUGAAAUGCGUAGAUAUGCGGAGGAACACCGAUGGCGAAGGCAAUCCCCUGGACCUGUACUGACGCUCAUGCACGAAAGGCGUGGGGAGCAAACGAGG